UACGGAGGGGGCAAGCGUUAUUCGGAAUUAUUGGGCGUAAAGGGCGCGUAGGCGGCUAGAUGUGUCAAAGGUGAAAUCCCUCGGCUCAACUGAGGAACUGCCUUUGAAACUGUCUGGCUUGAGGCCGGGAGAGGGUAGCGGAAUUCCCAGUGUAGCGGUGAAAUGCGUAGAUAUUGGGAGGAACACCAGCGGCGAAGGCGGCUACCUGGACCGGUUCUGACGCUGAGGCGCGAAAGCGUGGGUAGCAAACAGG
rnacentral:rRNA from 1 species